AACCUUUGGAGGACGAUGGAUGACAUGGGACGAGAGAUUCCCAGUGAUGCCCCGUGGAAGGCACCCCUUGCAGAACAGUGGGACCUGAUGACAAUGAAGGAGCUGCUAGACAAGAUCUGCUGGACAGAAUCUUCGAAGCAGCUUGCUAUUCUCUUUGUGAACCUUUGCGUUGCUGCAGAGAUCCAUGAGGUCUCCGCUCUCUGGUUCCUGUGGUAUGUGAAGCAGUGUGGGGGCACGACCAGGAUCUUCUCAACAUCCAAUGGAGGGCAGGAGAGGAAAAUUGUGGGUGGAUCUGGUCAAGUGAGUGAGCGGAUAAUGGACCUCCUGGGGGAUCGAGUGAAGCUGGAGAGGCCUGUGAUCCACAUUGACCAGACAGGAGAAAAUGUCCUUGUGGAGACCCUAAACCAUGAAUUGUAUGAGGCUAAGUAUGUGAUUAGCGCUGUUCCUCCUGUUCUGGGCAUGAAGAUUCACUUCAAUCCCCCUCUGCCAAUGAUGAGAAAUCAGCUGAUCACUCGUGUGCCUUUGGGUUCAGUCAUCAAAAGUAUAGUUUAUUAUAAAGAGCCCUUCUGGAGGAAUAUGGAUUACUGUGGAAGCAUGAUUAUUGAAGGAGAGGAAGCUCCAGUUGCCUAUGCAUUGGAUGACACUAAACCUGAUGGCAGCUAUCCUGCCAUAAUAGGAUUUAUCCUUGCUCACAAAGCCAGAAAACUGGCCCGUCUUACCAAGGAGGAAAGGUUGAAGAAACUCUGUGACCUCUAUGCAAAGGUUCUGGGCUCACAAGAAGCUUUGCACCCGGUGCACUAUGAAGAGAAGAACUGGUGUGAGGAGCAAUACUCAGCAGGUUGCUACACUUCUUACUUUCCUCCUGGGAUCAUGACUCAAUAUGGAAGGGUUCUACGCCAGCCAGUGGGCAGGAUUUACUUUGCCGGCACAGAGACUGCUACACACUGGAGUGGCUACAUGGAGGGGGCUGUGGAGGCUGGCGAGAGAGCAGCCGAGAGAUCCUGCAUGCCAUGGGCAAGAUCCCAGAGGAUGAAAUCUGGCUGCCUGAACCGGAGUUUGUGGAUGUUCCUGCAAAGCCCAUCACCACCACCUUCUUGCAAAGGCAUUUGCCCUCUGUGCCUGGCCUGCUGAAGCUGUUUGGAUUGACCACCAUCUUUUCAGCAACUGCUCUCGGCUACCUGGCCCACAAGAGGGGGCUCCUGGUGCGAAUCUAAAGAAAGGGCAUCUGUAACCACAUCCUGGUGUGUGGGUUUGGGGGAAGGCAUUGUAAUAAAGUUCCAAAAAGAUGCAAAGAAUGUAGAGUGAGGCGGGGAGCAUGACGAUCAGUCAGACUUUCUGACCACAGGAUACACAGUCUCUCUUUCUCCAUUUUGACACCUGUGUAUUGUCUAGUACCUAGCUUAGCACUCUCUCUCACCUACUUCCAAGUUCACUGGCUCCAGAAUCUUUACAGUAGUUAAAUUGGCUUGUGAAAGGUCCUUGCUAUCCUACUAUACAUUGCCCAGGCACACACACACACACACACACAUAAAACACUACUUUUUUCUUACCUCUAUGGCUCUGUGCUUGUCCUUCCUCUUUCCUGUAAUGUCCACAACCUUCCAGGCUCUCUGCAUUUGUCUUAGAAUCCCAUAUUGUUACAGCUGGAAGAACUUAGACACCAUCAAAUCCUUACUUUCUAUUUUAGAGUUGAGCAAACUGAAAUGGAGAGAGGAGGAACUUAAUGGCUUAAUGUCCACAA